rnacentral:rRNA from 1 species
UACGUAGGGCGCGAGCGUUGUCCGGAAUUAUUGGGCGUAAAGAGAACGUAGGCGGUUUGUUAAGUUUGGGCUUAAAGACUGGGGCUCAACCCCAGGAGUGGCUCGAAAACUGACAGACUAGAGGAUGGCAGAGGAAAGUGGAAUUCCCAGUGUAGCGGUGAAAUGCGUAGAGAUCGGAAAGAACACCAACGGCGAAAGCACUCUGCUGGGCCGACACUGACACUGAGAGACGAAAGCUAGGGGAGCGAAUGGG